rnacentral:rRNA from 1 species
GAUCCUGGCUCAGGACGAACGCUGGCGGCAUGCCUAACACAUGCAAGUCGAACGGAGAUAUUUAGAAGCUUGCUUUUGGAUAUCUUAGUGGCGGACGGGCGAGUAACGCGUGAGCAACCUGCCCCGCAGUGGGGAAUAACGGCUGGAAACGGCCGCUAAUACCGCAUAAAAUCGAGGGAUUGCAUGAUUCUUCGAUCAAAGGAGCAAUUCGCUGAGGGAUGGGCUCGCGUCCGAUUAG